rnacentral:rRNA from 1 species
GACGUAGGGCGCAAGCGUUGUCCGGAUUUAUUGGGCGUAAAGAGCUCGUAGGCGGCUCGUUGCGUCGGCUGUGAAAACCCGCAGCUCAACUGUGGGCUUGCAGCUGAUACGGGCGGGCUGGAGUUCGGUAGGGGAGACUGGAAUUCCUGGUGUAGCGGUGAAAUGCGCAGAUAUCAGGAGGAACACCGGUGGCGAAGGCGGGUCUCUGGGCCGAUACUGACGCUGAGGAGCGAAAGCGUGGGGAGCGAACAGG